ensembl:misc_RNA
UUGGGCUAUACCCUACAGCUAAUGAGCUCCAAAAAGGAGCAAAAGCCUUUAAAAUAGGCCCUGUAGUAUUAACCUAAUUUAAU